GACGAACGCUGGCGGCGUGCUUAACACAUGCAAGUCGAACGGAAAGGCCCUGCUUUUGUGGGGUGCUCGAGUGGCGAACGGGUGAGUAACACGUGAGUAACCUGCCCUUGACUUUGGGAUAACUUCAGGAAACUGGGGCUAAUACCGGAUAGGAGCUCCUGCUGCAUGGUGGGGGUUUGGAAAGUUUCGGCGGUUGGGGAUGGACUCGCGGCUUAUCAGCUUGUUGGUGGGGUAGUGGCUUACCAAGGCUUUGACGGGUAGCCGGCCUGAGAGGGUGACCGGCCACAUUGGGACUGAGAUACGGCCCAGACUCCUACGGGAGGCAGCAGUGGGGAAUAUUGCACAAUGGGCGGAAGCCUGAUGCAGCAACGCCGCGUGCGGGAUGACGGCCUUCGGGUUGUAAACCGCUUUCGCCUGUGACGAAGCGUGAGUGACGGUAAUGGGUAAAGAAGCACCGGCUAACUACGUG
rnacentral:rRNA from 1 species